rnacentral:tRNA from 1 species
GACAGUUUGGCCGAGUGGUUGUAAGUAAAAUUGAGGUGCCGACCCGUGUCCAGGCUUAUUUUCUAACAAAAUGUAGAAGGCGGCAGACUCGAAAUCUGCUGGGUUCGCCCGCACAGGUUCAAAUCCUGUAGCUGUCG